rnacentral:lncRNA from 10 species
GGGGCUGGGGCCCGGGGAGGCCACCAGGGCGGGGCCGGGCGCGGGGCGGCGCUUCUUCGCGCCUCCCGGCCCCGGCCUGGCGUCCGUGGGGCGCUGUGCGUCUCCGAGAACGAAGCGGCCUCCGGGUUCGUGUGCUCCGAGCCCGAGUACUGUUUGCGGCCGUCGUCCCGUCCUGGAGCAGGAGUGAGGAAGCGCCUCUCACUCCCCCGCGAACCCGCAGAACAGGCCGCCGGCGCUAUGGAGACCGGCGGAGCUUCCCGCUCCUUCACCAAGGGGCCCUGACGCGCAGUUGAAAGCGCGGAUUUUGCCGGGCGCGGCGGCUGCGUCCGGAGUCCCAGCGCCUUGGGAGGCGAGGCGGGAGGAUCCCCACGGCCCGGGAGCUCGAGACCAGCCCGGGCAAAUAUUUUGAAAGUCAUGAGCGGGACGGAAGGUGGGACUGGGAGAGCUGUUCUCGGGCAGGUGGACGCUGUGGAUUAGCGGAGAGGGAAGGCACUUUCGUUCUCGGCACCGUGAGGCUGUCCUGGUCAAUCCUGUUUUCAUGCUUGAGGGUCUCUGGUGCAGCAGCUCCACCAGCCUUGACACCAGGACUUCUGUGGAAUCCAGACGGAAGCUUGUGUAGAGGCCGCCAAGUUCCAACAAAUGCUCCCGACUGUAGACGCCACCAAGUGCUGGGACUUGCUCUCGUCAUCUGGGAAAGGCUU